CGGAAGUGCUCUGGAUACUGCCAGACUCGAGUGCGUGAGAGGAGAGCGGAAUUUCUGGUGUAGCGGUGAAAUGCGUAGAUAUCAGAAGGAACACCGGUGGCGAAAGCGGCUCUCUGGCGCGCAACUGACGCUGAGGCCCGAAAGCGUGGGGAGCAAACGGGAUUAGAUACCCCGGUAGUCCACGCUGUAAACGUUGUGCACUAGGUGUGGGAGGUGUCGACCCCUUCCGUGCCGCAGCUAACGCAUUAAGUGCACCGCCUGGGGAGUACGGUCGCAAGACUGAAACUCAAAGGAAUUGACGGGGGCCCGCACAAGCGGUGGAGCAUGUGGUUCAAUUCGAGGCAACGCGAAGAACCUUACCCAGGCUUGACAUCCCGGGAAUCCCGCCGAAAGGCGGGAGUGCCCUUCGGGGAGCCCGGAGACAGGUGUUGCAUGGCUGUCGUCAGCUCGUGUCGUGAGAUGUUGGGUUAAGUCCCGCAACGAGCGCAACCCUUGUCC
rnacentral:rRNA from 1 species